rnacentral:rRNA from 1 species
ACUCAAAUGAAUUGACGGGGGCCCGCACAAGCGGUGGAGCAUGUGGUUUAAUUCGAUGCAACGCGAAGAACCUUACCUACCCUUGACAUCCACAGGAUUUUGCAGAGAUGCAGAAGUGCCGAAAGGAACUGUGAGACAGGUGCUGCAUGGCUGUCGUCAGCUCGUGUUGUGAGAUGUUGGGUUAAGUCCCGUAACGAGCGCAACCCCUGUCCCUGGUUGCCAGCGCGUAAAGGCGGGGACUCCAGGGAGACUGCCGGUGAAGAACCGGAGGAAGGCGGGGACGACGUCAAGUCAUCAUGGCCUUUAUGGGUAGGGCUACACACGUGCUACAAUGGUGCGUACAGAGGGUCGCGAACCCGCGAGGGGGAGCCAAUCUUACAAAGCGCAUCGUAGUCCGGACUGGAGUCUGCAACUCGACUCCACGAAGUCGGAAUCGCUAGUAAUCGCGAAUCAGAAUGUCGCGGUGAAUACGUUCCCGGGCCUUGCACACACCGCCCGU